rnacentral:rRNA from 1 species
UAGUCCACGCCGUAAACGAUGACAACUAGCCGUUGGGCUCCUUGAGGGCUUAGUGGCGCAGCUAACGCGAUAAGUUGUCCGCCUGGGGAGUACGGCCGCAAGGUUAAAACUCAAAUGAAUUGACGGGGGCCCGCACAAGCGGUGGAGCAUGUUGUUUAAUUCGAUGCAACGCGAAGAACCUUACCUAGCCUUGACAUAUUUUAGAACACUUUAGAGAUAGAGUGGUGCCUUCGGGAGCUAAUAUACAGGUGCUGCACGGCUGUCGUCAGCUCGUGUCGUGAGAUGUUGGGUUAAGUUCCCGCAACGAGCGCAACCCUCAUCCUUAGUUGCCAUCAUUUAGUUGGGCACUUUAAGGAAACUGCCGGUGAUAAGCCGGAGGAAGGUGGGGAUGACGUCAAGUCCUCAUGGCCCUUACAGGCUGGGCUACACACGUGCUACAAUGGCCGGUACAGAGGGAAGCCACCACGUAAGUGUGCGCGGAUCGUAUAAAACCGGUCACAGUUCGGAUCGGGGUCUGCAACUCCG